rnacentral:rRNA from 1 species
GGGCGCGCCCCGGGCGGGGCGGGGGCACGGGGGGAACCGUCGACAGUCAGGUAACGAGCGAGACCCACGCCAACAGUUGCUAGCUCGUCCUCCGGGAUGGAGAGGACACUGUUGGGACCGCCUCUGCUAAAGAGGAGGAAGGAAUGGGCAACGGUAGGUCAGCAUGCCCCGAAUUAACUGGGCUACACGCGGGCUACAAUGGGUGGGACAAUGGGUAUCGACACCGAAGGGUGAAGGCAAUCUCCUAAACCCAUCCUUAGUUCGGAUUGUGGGCUGCAACUCGCCCACAUGAAGCUGGAAUCCGUAGUAAUCGUAUCUCAAUAUGGUACGGUGAAUAUGUCCCUGCUCCUUGCACGAAUUCGCCG